AGCAUGUUAGCUCAGGGGAAGAGCGGUAAUUCAACCAUAUAUCCUUAUUCUACAAAUCAAAUAAGCUAACUUCGUUUAGCCGGGCUCAUAACCCGGAGGACCCUGGAUCGAAACCAGGACAUGCUA
rnacentral:tRNA from 1 species